GAAUAGGUAAGGUACGUCAACAAUGCAUUUCGCUGAAACCGUCACUCCACACCACUGAAGUCUCAGCCAACAUCAUGGCAGCAUUAGGACUCCUAUGGCUUGUGAUCUCCACAGCAUCCAUCCUUGUCAAAUGUGAUGAAGAUGCAACAUCUGAACACAAAGGUAAAGAAUUUCUGUAUAUUUUUUUGUAGUGAUUAGUGUUUUGGAAAUAUUUAAUACAUCAGUGUAUAAAAUACAGUAUAUACUUUUAAAACAGAAAUUCUUUCUUAAUAAUACACACACUUACACUUAAGGGAAACCCUAACUUCCACUUAAGUCACAUUUUCAAAAAGAAAGUGAAGGGUUCACCCCUCAUUGGUAUUUGUUUUUAUGCAGAGAUCUACCCAGCAAAGAUCUUUGGACCAUCUAGUGUGACUGAAGGGGUAAACGUCACUUUUAAAUGUAGCACUACUGGCAUCAGAGGACCUGAGGACAAGUUUAAUUUUUACCUUUGCAAGAAUGGAGUUGGGAUAAGAAUUGCGCUGCUGGAGAAACUUGUAGAUGACGCUAUUUUCACCAUAAAGGAUGUUACAAGAGAAGACUCAGGCAACUACAGCUGUGUGUACACCAGAGAUAAACUUGUACCCAGUCAGGUGAACUCAACAGGGGAGAAUUUAGUGUUUUUUCAGGUUGGUGGAGAACAGAAAGAGGCUGCACAUGGUGUGAUACUGGUCAAUGUAAUCCGACUGAUAAGUUCAGCUGUUGUGGUCAUACUUCUACUGACUGUGGUGGCUGUUAGUUCCUGCUGUUCAGAAAGAGGUAAUUAUGAUGAUUAAUGUCUCUUUUCUGGAUGACAUACAGUAGUGAUCUACUGACA
rnacentral:lncRNA from 8 species